GUGCUUGUUUCAGCAGCACAUACAAUAAAAUUGGAACAAUGUGGAGAAGAUUAGCAUGGCCCCGUACAAGGAUGACACAAAAAUUUGUGAAACAUUUCAUAUUAAG
ensembl:snRNA U6 U6 spliceosomal RNA